GCACCUAAAGUGAAGAAGGACUUUCCCAUCAUACCCAAAGCCAAAGCCAAAAGAAAGGCACUGAAAGCCAAGAAGGCAGUGCUGAAAGAUAUCCAUAGACAUAAAAAGAAUAUACCCACAUGUUAUCUAGCUUCCAGUAACCCAAGACCCUGGAGUUUCAGGGACAGACCAAAUAUCCUGGCAGACACAUGCUCAGGAGAAGCAAACUAUGCCAUCAUCAAAUUCCCCCUGACCACUGAGUCAGACGGGAAGACUGACUUUAGUGUGGAUGUCAAGCUGACAAGCACCAGCUCAAACAGGCUGGAAAGAAACUCUCUGAUAGUGAUCUGUCCAAAGUCAGUAUCCUGCUCAGAUGUGAUGGGGAGAGGAAGGCAUGUUUGGCUGGCUCCUACUUAUGAUGCUUUGGAUGUUGCCAAAUAAACAUCUAAAUC
rnacentral:lncRNA from 1 species